CAACACCAGAUGAGGCAAGAUUACCCGCUGAAUUUAAGCAUA
rnacentral:rRNA from 1 species